CAGGAACUCAAGAUUCCAGACUGUCCAUUAUAUACAAUAAUAGAAGAGACUACAAAGCUUAUUUCAGAAUUGAAGUUGACCCUUCCUAUUUGUCCCUGACAGGCUGGAUGAAAUGAG
rnacentral:lncRNA from 1 species